GCCAGUUUAGCUCAGUUGGUAGAGCAUCUGUUUUGUAAACAGACGGUCACCCGUUCGAAUCGGGUAACUGGCUCCA
rnacentral:tRNA from 1 species